rnacentral:rRNA from 1 species
AACGUAGGACACAAGCGUUAUCCGGAAUCAUUGGGCGUAAAGCGCGUGUAGGCGGGACGGCAAGUCGGUCGUGAAAGGCUUCGGCUCAACCGGAGAUGGCCGAUCGAAACUGCCGUUCUUGAGGGUCGAAGAGGAGAGUGGAAUUCCUGGUGUAGCGGUGAAAUGCGUAGAGAUCAGGAGGAACACCCAUGGCGAAGGCAGCUCUCUGGUCGACCUCUGACGCUGAGACGCGAAAGCGUGGGGAGCGAACGGG